CGGGGUGAGUAAUGUCUGGGAAACUGCCUGAUGGAGGGGGAUAACUACUGGAAACGGUAGCUAAUACCGCAUAACGUCGCAAGACCAAAGUGGGGGACCUUCGGGCCUCAUGCCAUAAGAUGUGCCCAGAUGGGAUUAGCUAGUAGGUGGGGUAACGGCUCACCUAGGCGACGAUCCCUAGCUGGUCUGAGAGGAUGACCAGCACACUGGAACUGAGACACGGUCCAG
rnacentral:rRNA from 1 species